rnacentral:rRNA from 1 species
UACGUAGGGUGCAAGCGUUAAUCGGAAUUACUGGGCGUAAAGCGUGCGCAGGCGGUUCGUUGUGUCGGUGGUGAAAGCCCCGGGCUUAACCUGGGAAUGGCCAUGGAAACUGGCGAUCUAGAGUGCGGUAGAGGGCAGUGGAAUUCCCGGUGUAGCAGUGAAAUGCGUAGAGAUCGGGAGGAACAUCUGUGGCGAGGGCGACUGCCUGGACCAGCACUGACACUGAGGCACGAAAGCGUGGGGAGCAAACAGG